rnacentral:rRNA from 1 species
GAAGUGCGAGAUCAGCGGCGAACGGGUUAGUAACACGUGGGUAUCAACCUCCGACACAGGGAUAAUCCGUCGAAAGACGGACUAAUACCUGAUGAUCCCUGGGCGCAAGCUUAAGGGUAAAGGCGCAAGCCGGUGGGAGAUGAACCUGCGCACUAUCAGCUAGUUGGUAGGGAACGGCCUACCAAGGCUAUGACGGUUAGGGGAGGUGAGAGCUUGUUCCCCAACACUGGGACUGAGACACGGCCCAGACACCUACGGGUGGCAGCAGCCGAGAAUAUUGGACAAUGGGCGAAAGCCUGAUCCAGCGACGUUGCGUGUAGGAAGAAGACGUUCGCGCUGUAAACUACUUCUCUAGGGGAAGAAGUUAUUGACGGUACCCUAGGAAUAAGCGGGGGCUAAUUCUGUGCCAGCAGCAGCGGUAAAACAGAACCCGCAAGCAUUAUCCGGAUUUAUUGGGCGUAAAGUGUUCGUAGGCUGUUUUGUAAGUCUAAUAUUAAACUCUUCGGGCUUAACCCGGAGACUGUAUUAGAUACUGCAAAACUAGAAGGCGCUAGGGGCUGUCGGAACGCACGGUGUAGGGGUGAAAUCCGUUGAUAUCGUGCGGAACACCAAAAGCGAAGGCAGACAGCUGGGGCGACCUUGACGCUGAGGAACGAAAGCGUGGGGAGCAAAAAGGAUUAGAUACCCUUGUAGUCCACGCCCUAAACGUUGGAUACUGGCCGCUUGAAGUGUCGACCCUUCAAGUAGCGAAGCUAACGCGUUAAGUAUCCCGCCUGGGAAGUACGGCCGCAAGGCUAAAACUCAAAGGAAUAGACGGGGGCUCACACAAGCAGUGGAUCAUGUGGCUUAAUUCGAUAACAAGCGAGGAACCUUACCAGGGCUUGAAAGACUAGUGAAAUUCCGAUGAAAGUCGGACUUCCCACAAGGACACUAGCCCAGGUGCUGCAUGGUUGUCGUCAGCAGGUGUCGUAAGAUGCACGCUUAGAUGCCGCAACCUGCGCAACCCUUAUCUUAUGUUUUAAUUGUCAUAAGAAACUGCCGGGGACAACUCGGAGGAAGGUGAGGAUGACGCCAAAUCAGCAUGGCCCUUUGACGCCCUGGGCUGCACACAUGGUACAAUGGCCGCUACAAUGGGCAGCGAAACCGAGAGGUGGAGCAAAUCCCAUCAAAAGCGGCCCCAGUUCGGAUUGAGGUCUGCAAUUCGACCUCAUGAAGCCGGAAUUGCUAGUAACCGUGAAUCAGCUACGUCACGGUGAAUAUGUUCCUGAGCCUUGUACUCACCGCCCGUCACGCCAAGCGAGCUGGGGACAGCCGAAGUGCCCUGCAAGGGGAGCUAAGCUGGAUUCAGUAAGAGGGGCGAAGUCGUAACAAGGCA